UUUUUCGUGUUCAUUUCACUUCAGGCAGAUGAACAUUUUCGGUAGACAAAGGUUUGUUAGCUAGACAAUGUAAUAGUAGGUAUCGUAGAAAAUAAUGUAGCGGCCGUUGUGGGCUGUAAAGAGAACCUAGCAAGAUAGCAUACAGGGCACUUUUAGUUCGUCAAAUUACCACUUGCGAGAAAUCGUGUCACUGGAUUCGCUCCUCUACUGUGAAAAUGGGAAUUCAGGGACUGUUGCAAUUCCUUAAGGAUGCCUCAGAGCCCAUACAUGUCAAAAAGUACAGAGGACAGACAGUGGCUGUGGACACAUAUUGCUGGCUCCAUAAAGGAGCAUUCGCUUGUGCUGAGAAACUGGCCAAAGGAGAACCUACUGAUCAAUAUGUAACCUACUGUAUGAAAUUUGUGGAUAUGCUGUUGUCCUUUGGUAUCAAGCCCAUCCUGGUGUUCGAUGGUUGCAACUUGCCAUCGAAGAAGGAGGUUGAUAAGGCACGUCGCGAGCGUCGACAAGCCAAUUUGCAGCGAGGCAAACAGCUCCUGCGUGAGGGAAAGCUAAGUGAAGCACGGGACUGCUUCACUCGUUGUGUUAAUGUUACCCCCUCCAUGGCUCAUGAAGUAAUCAAGGUAAAUUGAGACACAAUUC